GACGAACGCUGGCGGCGUGCCUAAUACAUGCAAGUCGAACGCUGAAGCACGACCUUGCUUCUCUGGUUGAGUUGCGAACGGGUGAGUAACGCGUAGGUAACCUGCCUGUUAGCGGGGGAUAACUUUUGGAAACUAUAGCUAAUACCGCAUAAUAGUAGCUGUUGCAUGACAUUUGCUUAAAAGUUGCAAUUGCUUCAGUACCACAUGGGGCUGAGUUGUAUUAUCUUGUUGGUGGGGUAUCGGAUCACCAUGGCGACGAUACAUAGUGGACAUGUGAGGGGGAUUGGCCACACUGGGACGGAGACACGCCCCAGAGGCCUACGGGAACCAGCAGUAGGGAAACGUCAGCAAGCGAUGGAAGACUGACCAAAAAACGCCGCAGGAGUAAAGAACAAUGUCGCAUCGUAAAUCACUGUUUUAAGAGAAUAAACAGUUUUAGACUGUAAAGUUCACACUGUGACGGUAACUGAUCAAAAAGCAACGGCUAACUACGUG
rnacentral:rRNA from 1 species